rnacentral:misc_RNA from 1 species
ACGCCCCACAUCCUUCUCACUGUAUCGUCGAUUGCGUGGUUGCGUGCGUGCGUGCGUUGACUGCCGCAACACCUCCGCCACUGCUCCGUAAAGGUUGUUGUCCUCGUUCUGUCGCUGCAUCUUUUCCGGUUUUCUCAACGCCCAUAACGCAACGGUGUUCUUUGAUCAUUUCUGCGAACCGCUGAGUGGCCUCGUUGCCUGUCUUCCGUCCUGCGUGUGUGAAUCGGUGUGUGUGUGUACUCCAUUGUUGUAGACGACUCGGUGUAUUUACUCGUUUAUGUUUCGGGCCUGCUCGACCCACCAAUCCCUCCCUCCCUAACAUCUGUUCUUAAAGCACGGUAGCCCCACCUACAGGCGCGCUUCGUCUUGCGCCUAUCACACUGCCCCCUCCCCUCCCUCACCAUCACCACCAUCAUCCCUGCCGCCGCCUCCUCCCUCAUCACUACGGAGUCUUCAUGCAACUGCGCACUCACAUAAACGCCUCUGCUGCCGUUGCUCUGUGUUGUUGAUUUUCGGUUCUGUGUGUGUGUGUGUGUGUGUGUGUGUGUGUGUAUGCGUAUCACAGUCUUACACAGCAGCAGAAUAAAGCCAUGCCGUCGCGCCGCAAGGCGCACAAGCGCGGUGGCCCUCAGAUGCCACAAGAAGACGCAGAGCAUCAGCAGUCAAGCUUGGGUGCCAUCGAGGACGCUCCUGCAUCGGAGCCGAGAAGCACAACUGUUGUUGUGCAGCAGCCGUCUCCAGUGAGCGGAGGCGGCACUGACGACGACUCCUACAUGUCUGUCUUGGCCGACGAGGAAGACUCGUACCGCCUUGUCAUUGAGCAUGACGAACACUUGAAACGAAUUCGUGCGUACAGAGACUUCCACGAUCAGCUCGCUUGCAUGAAGAGGGCGGCAGCCGGAGAAGUCGACCGCGACAGCAGCGUGACGCCGAAACGGGUCUUCGACACAUCCGCCAUCAGCACGGCACCAACUUCUCCAGAAGUGCCUCCGACGACGCGCGCACCGCCCACCCCUUCACAGCAAAAGCAGAGCGCCGCGCUGGGCAGCCAUCCCUCGAUCACCCCCCUCGUCCGCACGCCGACCAACCGCGGCGACGCUUUUCCAGGCAGCGAAAACCACCUGGCGGCGCCGCUCAUGUGCAUGGAGCGCGGCGCCUCUCCGUCUCGGCCACACAAGGCGGCAGAUGCGAAAGAGGUGAGCCGCCUGCAGGCCGAGAACGCGCGAAUGGCGGUGGAGCUGCAGGCGAGUCAGGAGGCGGUGCAGCGGCUGCACGAUUCGCUCCUGGAGGCUCGCGGGGCCCUGCUCCAUCGCGUCCGCCUCGAAGCGAAGGACGGCGCCGUGGGUCAGGUGGCAUCGGAGAGGCAGCAGCACUCUUUCUUGGCGGCCACCGGCGCAUGCGAAGCAGCAGCGCAGCAUGCUACGUCCAGCCGAUCUCCGCUCGCCACCCCCACUGCAGUCUUCUCUCCCUCCAACUCGAAGUUACCGGCGCCGGCUACUUCCGUACCGGCAGCCGCGUCCUCGUCCGUGGGUCGGGAUCACCCGCCGCCGAAGGCGCUGCUGCGAAGCCCCGCCAAUGACCUCAGCGAUGGCGGCGUUGGUGCUCUCUGCCCCCACCCCAGCACGAAGCGGCUUGGCGUGGCUGAGUUUUUCUGGGCCUUGCAAGUCGCCCCACCGCCAUCCACGCGGCAAGGCGGGUGCAUAUACGGCGAUCGCUGCCAAGCGUCGGCCGCGUCCUUGCGCAGACCACCAGAGAUGGCGGACGAGGACAUCCCCCUCGGCGGCGCGUACGGUGCGACGAGCCGGCCAGUGGAGAGGGUGUCGUCCGCGUCGGCGGAGAAGCCGCCGCCUCACCAUGUCUCGCGCUACCACCUUGACCACUGGCACAAUCCGCGGCAACGGCAGGGCGCCGAGACGGAGGCGGUGGCCCUCGCCUGCGAGAGCGCCUGGCUGAAUUCGGACUACUACUGCUACCAUAUCAAAGAGGAGAUGUCGAGUCUGCGCGUGGUGUCCUCUCCCGACGAGGCCGUCGAUGGCAGCGGCUCCGCAGUGCCCGCUAUGAACGACAACGAAGUGGGUCGACGGCUUCCCCACCACAUCCCCGCUGCCGCGUCGCCGCCGUUAGCCGAAGACAACACCCCGCUGUCGAGCCCCACUCCACACAGCACCCCGGUGGCAACAGCGCAGUGGUCGGUGUUAGAGGGAACGGUGACGUCAGUGUGGUCCCCGGCGAAGACGAGGAGCGCGGCCAUGUUGGCCGGCAUCGUCUCCUCGCCAGCCGAGCGUUGCUACUGGCUGCCGUACCUUCAGCGACUGUGGGUGACGUCGGUGUUGCGGCAUCUGCUGCUGUUUUUCCUUGUCACGGCGAUUUGUGUGCUUCUCUUCAUCCCUGGCGUUGUGCUGGCCACCGUGAACGUCUUUGAGGCCGCCGAGGGGGAGGACUUCUACGCUCUUCACAACCGCUUCGGCCGCAGCGCCAUGCUCGUCGCGGCGAGGCUGGAUGCGUGCACGCUCGUGCUCUUCGCCUUCUUCGGUGCUCUGUGCAUGAUUAAUCAUCGGCAGCAGCCGAAGUCCUUGGCUUCGGUGGAUGCGCAGCAAGAAGAAGCAGAGACGGCGGCGGCGGUUUCGGUCCCUGCGGCUGGAUCGGCGGCUCCCGCCACCACCGCGGCGAGGCAGCCGUGGCGUAGCAUCUUCUCUGUGAAGUCAGUUGGUGCGUUCGUCCACCUCAUGCUGUGCGCCGGCACCGGCCUCAUGUUUUGGGGCACCGUUCUGCUCCGUGAGGGCUGCCGCAAUACGAACCUGCCGCUGGCGAUUCUCGGCGAAUCCUGCUACGGCGCCGGGGAGGCGUUGCUGCUGGCUGGGCUGGGCACCGUCGUGAGUGCGGAGGUUGGCGUUGCCGCCGGUGUUAUUGUCAGCUUGCAGAUCCUAUUCUUGUCGUGGCUUAUCGUGAACGUCUUCGGCUUCUUCGUUCUCCCCAGCCUGAGCUACUACUUAUACAUCACCGCGGCUAUGUUGAACGCGCUUGUGUACGUGAACGGCUUCAUUGGUGCCUUGGUCUUCAGCGUCGUGAUGCUGUGCCCUCGUGACCUGAUCGAGCGUGCCGUGCGAGCAAGCGGGAAGGAUAUCACGCCGCGCAACCUUUGGUCAGCCGCGAGGCAUGACGUCUCGCUCUGUUUUCUUCUACGUGCUCUGACCGUUGGUCUACUGACAGCGGCGGUGGUGCUGCUCAUGAGCUGCGGGUACGCCGUCUUCAUCCCGACGCAGGCGGCCGCCGCGGCGGUGGCCGAGUCAACCAAGUCGCACGAGCUGAUGAGCACCAGCACCGGCAAGGGCUCGAGGGCCACGGAGGCGACGGGGUCUCUCACGACCUAUCAGGACAGCUGGGCCACGCACCAGCGCCACGCACCGGUGCUGCUUUUCACGUAUGCGCUGGUGACGAUGCCGAUGUGCUUCAUCCCGCGCUUGGCAGCGCUCAUCAACCGAUGGUGCUCGGUGCCGCUGCUGACGACGCUGCUAUGCGUCAUGUGGAUCAUCAGCACGGGGGCCUCGUGGGCGCCAGUUCUCGGCCUGGGAGCGUUGGCGUCGAACAGCGGCGGCAAGGACGGCGUAGCCAUCGCCGCGGUCUCGGCGGUGGUGUCGUGGUGUAGCGGUGUUUGGCUUUGGCUGGCGGAGCGCCACAUCCUGAAUCCCUGCGUCGACGCCUGCGCGAUCGCCACGGGCGCCAUCUACACCGUUGUCGUCAGCAGUCUUCUGCGUUCGAUGGUGAAUGCUGGGGUGCUGUUGCCCGUCAUGCAUCCAAACCGCUGGCGCAUGGCCUUUCACGAGCGAGACCGCCACUUGGAAGCCGCCGCAGCACGCUUCCCCAGCGAAUCUACGCCUCUCCUGGAAGCUAGUGCGCAGAAGGGGUGUUGCAAGAACGCCAAGGCGGCAGCGGCGGGAGCCGUGUGCCCCGACACGGCGGCUGCCCCCCAUGCAGGCUCUGCUAACGCCCCCACGGCCACCAGAACGCACACUGGGGAGGAGUCGAAGACCUACGCAGAGGAGCUGCAGCGCUGUGUGCGGAUGCAGCUGCGCGGCGGACCGGCAGUCAUGACCGUGCUGGCGUGCACGCUGAUCAUGGUGGUGCUGCUCCUGUGCGUGGCGGUGAUGACGACAGCGGCGGUGCUGCUGAUCGACCGCGCUGAGUCGCCAGUGUACGUGAAUCGCCUCCUGCCUGGCGUGACCUUGGAUGAGCACCUGAUCGCAAAGAGCACCCUAACCUUCGUGCUUAUCGCGGCGAUGCUGGUGCAGUGGGUGGAGGUGGCCCACCGGUUCCGGCGCUGCCGCAGCAGCUGAGGUGUUUUCACGUGUGUGGGUGUGUGAGGUGAGCACGUGUGGUGAAGUACGAGGCAGUUUUGGUGUAGCAGAUGUGGGUGCUCUGCACUCUCUGUGUGUUUCAUGUGCGGUGAUUUCG